AUAAAAUAAAGAGAGAAAUAAGAAGAAAGAAAAGCGGUGACGAGCCUGAGAAUGGGAGCGAUUUAUACCGAUUCCCUCGAGCAAACCCUAAUUUUCUUUGAUGAAAUUGUAGAGGGACGUGAGGAAGAGAAUUUCGAGGGUUACCGGAGUGAUUGGAGCUGUGGAGGUUGAGGAAUUUGAAUGAAAAGUCGGGUUAAGUCUGAAUUUUGGACAGUCUGAACAGGCUUCAGUGUUUUGAAGUUCUCGAGCUGUAGACACGAAAUUUGAAGCUAGAAUUUUGAGGAAGACCGAGACUACACGGAAUUUCGGGCGAACAGAGAAACGUGACUUUUGGAGCUGAUUCGGUGUUAUUCAAGCGUUUUCAAAGCUUCAAAUUCUCAGUUUAUUUGGUUAAUAUGCUUAUUGGAAAGUUUAAGCAAGAAAUUUUAGGUUAUAUGGUUAGGGAUUGAUGAAUUUCAAGCUGGGAAAAGUUCUGAAACUUCUCGCCGGAAAACAGGGGUAUCAAGAAAUAUUUGACCGAUUCCAGAAGAUUUAGGGCGAUUCAAGACUCCAAAAUGUGAGGUAAGAUAGUUUAGAGGAUGGGUAAGAGGUUUAUAUAAAUUAAUUCGAGUGGGUAUGGCUCAAAUGAGCGAAUUUGGUCGCCGGAAGUCUCACCAGAAAACUGGCCGAAUUUGGAAGAAAAUGUGGGCUGGAGGUUGAAGAUGACUUCUGUCCGUCAUUAAAAGCUGAAAAAUCCAAAUUUAUGGUAAUUAAAGUGUUCUCAAACCUAAGUAGUGGCUGUUUGGUAUUCAUAUGAUAUUUUAAGCAUGGAAUUAGAGGAAAUUGGGAUCCUAGAUUAAUUUUGAAAAUGAUUAAGCGGUUAAUUGGUUAAGUAAAUCUAGAUUAGGGUUAAUGAGGAAAUUGAGUAAAACGUAGACUAAAUUAAGGUUUUAGAGAACGUUAAGUAAAGUUAGGAUAUUUUAGAAAUUAUUUAGAGAUUAAGAGAAUUAUGGUAAAAUGUUGAAUUUUGUAUGCAGUGUUUGGACUGGAUAAUCAUCUAGUGGAUAACCAUAAGUUAAUAAUGUGAUUUUCAAGCUAGGAGAGGCUUAUAAAUCCGAAGGAUCAAGCCCGAAAUUGUGAGUGACAAAUCCUAAGCGUUUUCUUAAGGUUUUAGUAACUCAUGCUUGCUUAAUUAUAAGAAUCUUCCAAGCAAACUAAGUUUGAAGAGCUAUUGUCGCAUGCUAGUUUAAAAUGAUGUUUAUAAAGCAUGUUUAAAUAUUUGUGUUUAUGUAUACAAAGCAUGCAUUAGAAAUUUAUAAAGAUGUGAAAGCUCUUGUUCAUGUUACUAUGCUUAUAAGUAUACAUGUUUCUAAAGGAAUAAGUUUUAUGAUGAGCAUGAUAAACCCGAUACUGAAGGACUCUGAGAAGGUAUCUGGGCCAUAGUACCUAAGGUAUGACGGUACUUAAUUAUUAUCACGUGCACGUAGGCAGAGUUGACGUUGGUACUGUUGAGAUUACUCCACACCAACUAAGGAUUGACGUUGAGGGAUUGAGCAAAAGGGUUCUCUCUCAACUAAGGAUACAAGUUAUGUUUUUUUAGAGAUACUAUGUUUUAAAAUGUUUUAAGUAUGAGUUUGCUUCGCCGUUUUCAGUUUCAAGCAUGAUGAAUAUGUUUUAUUAGUCACUCACUGGGCGAGUAACUCAUUCUUUCAAAUGUUUUUCUUUUCUCGGAUAGUGGUCAUCUCCCCAGAGGUUAGCUGUCAUGUUGCUCUGCCACUCAAGGACUCCAGUUAAAAGUCCAAAGUCUAAAGAGAAGUUUUAGGUGUUUAUUCUGUAAAUGACUGUACAUAUGUCUUGCUCAUAUUAGGGACUAGUAAAGUAUAUUGGGACCUACUGAACUCUGUAUGUGUUAAUAUGAUGCAGUUAUGUUGUCGUUGA